rnacentral:rRNA from 1 species
GGACUACCGGGGUAUCUAAUCCUGUUUGCUCCCCACGCUUUCGUAUUUCAGCGUCAGUACCGGGCCAGUGAGCCGCCUUCGCCACUGGUGUUCUUCCGAAUAUCUACGAAUUUCACCUCUACACUCGGAGUUCCACUCACCUCUCCCGGACUCGAAGAUCGCCAGUAUCGAAGGCAGUUCCGAGGUUGAGCCUCGGGAUUUCACCCCCGACUUAACGACCCGCCUACAUACGCUUUACGCCCAGUAAUUCCGAACAACGCUAGCCCCCUUCGUAUUACCGCGGCUGCUGGCAC